GGGGACAGAGCUCAGUGGUAGAGCAUAUGCUUGGCAUGUACGACAUCCUGGGUUCAAUCCCCAGUGCCGCCA
rnacentral:tRNA from 1 species